CCGCGCCGGGAUCGAAGCUUCUGUCGUACCGCCGAAGCUAUGUCUCGUCGUUCUUUACCUGUGCACUUGACCAGCGAGUCAGCUGGAAUUGCGUGACUGUGAUCGGCACUGCUUUCGCAGUAAAGGGGAGCUCAUAAGACGCGGUGAAUGUCGCGGUCUCUUCUCCGGCCGUUCAACGAGGGCCGGCGUGAGGAGGGGCUGCCUGCGCUGUGGAAGCCUCUGAGUCCCGGUCGCGGGACAGCGGAGCGCAGGCGGACUUGGGGCUGCUGCUCAGCUCCUCAGGAAUGCCACGUCCCUUUUGGCACCUGGUACUUUGGAAUUUAUACUCUCCUUGAAGGGAGGAUGGCAAGAAGAUGGAGCCAGGCUCUUCUCAGUGAUGCCCAGCAAUAGGAAAAGAGGCAAAGCACUGGUGCAUAGGAAGUUUCACCUGACCCUGAGGAAGAACUUCACUGUGUGGGUGAGAUGCACUGAACAGAUUGCCCGGAGAGGGUGUGGAAAGUCCCUCAUGGGAGAUAUUCCAGAAUGUACUGGACAUGAUCCGGUGUCAAGUGCUCUGGGAUGACCCUGCUUGAGCUGGGAGGUUGGGCCAGAUGACCUACCUGUGAUCCCUUCCAACCUGGACCAUUCUGUAAUUCUGUACCAGGGAAGGUGAUCUGUUCCCUCGUUUCCAGGGCUUUUGGAAUGCCUGGGCAUGUGCCUUCACUGGCCAUCACAGCAGAAAGUCUCUCACAAGACUUUGAUCUAGGAUGGCACUUCAUUCCUGCAGACCUGUGACAAGUCAUGGCAGUGUCCCCUGAGUCGAGCUCACAGCAUGCUCAGGGGCUGCCUCCUCUGCAGUGUCCUGUGUUACCUCCUCAGUGGCCCAAGUGCAGGACAUACCUAUGAGUCAGCAGUAAAGCACACACCAAGUGUUCCCAUGCCCCAGUUUCCCAGGAAUGGAUGUGAAUGCAGCUGUUGGGAGAGUCGGUGCCCAUCUGCCUGGGUCGAAUGCUGCACUGGGAGCAACACUGCUGUUGCCUGUGGGGCAGAGCCAGGAUGUGAGUGAACACUUCAGAAUCAGGCUGGGGUGUGCAAGUUCAAGCACAGAGAGAAGAAAUGCGUGAAGAACAGCAGGCUGAUAGAAAGGGAAUGGGAAGAAAGUGCAGUCCUUCCCUGAAUGCCAGUCAGGAGCUCAUAGCUGGCACUGGGGAACUGCUGUCUGCAGUCCAUGCUCUCCCUUCACAGGGAGCUCUUCUAGCCUGGCCACAGGCUCAAAACUGACUGAUAGCAUGCACAGGAAAGAGCCAAGAGGAGCUUACUCCAUCUGCUGAGAAAGCAGGUCUGCCUUCAGCUGCUCGUGCAGGUGCUUGGAGGACUGUGACUGGUUGUAAGUUUGGGCACCUGUCCUUGCCACAGGCUGGGCUGCGCUCACUCAUGCACUCUGCUUACAGGACCAUGAGGUUUUCUGUCCUCAACUCCUUGGCGAAAACAAGCUUUGUGAAAUAGCUGGGAGGUGAAAGCACAGAACUUGCCUAUUAGCUAUAUCUUUGAUUUAUUCCAAAACUUUCUUCCUCAGGUUCAGUGGAUGGAGGUGUGGAGGAAGUCUGAAGCAAGGAGGGAAGCAGAAUGCCAGGCAUGGGAGGCCUGGAGCAUGCAGCCAGUCCCAGUCCUGCUGGCUUGGGAAUGCUCUGUAAUGCCUGCAUGCCAGGCAAGAGGGAGUGACUUCAAAGCACAUCUUUAUUAGGGUACACUGCUUAGCAUCAAAGAAAUGUCAGGGCUGCUCUACACUGACUCUCUGCCUGCGGCACUAAACUAGCCUGUCAUUCAGAAGUCUCAGUACAAACCACAACUGCUGACAGAGUCCUGGAAAAAUUUAUUUUUCCACAUCUAAUUGCCCUUUUUGCUUUGUAAACAUAAAGGUUGAAGCUUAAACUCUGACAGCUCCAGUAGCCUUUUGCUUAACUCCUUAAAAAAAAUGACAUUCAGCAUGUUAAAUUUUGCUUUUACCGCUGCCUGAAAUCUCACAAAAUCUGCCCAAUGUUUUUUUAAAGAUCAUUGAAGCAUUUCAGCACUCACUUUGGGAAAAACCCUUCAACUAACAAAAAGACAAAAGCUGGUGCCUGAAGAGCCAAGACCUUUCCCCAUAGCAAUUCAGGAUAAAAAUGCUUGACCAAAAGAGGCACAGCGAGCAAACGGCAUUCCACCUUUCCCUUGGAGCAGAUUAAAGAAUGCCUAUCUGCUCUUGUUAUUGUUCCAGAAAGAAAUGAAACAUCAAAGACAGGAGAAAAAGAGAAACAACUCUUAAAAAGCAAAAUUGGAUGUAUCAUAGCAGUCUGAAAACUUCCAGUUCAGUUUCUUCAGUGCCAUGGGUUCUCUGUCCUGGAGGAGGAUCCCCCGAAGUGGGGGGAUGCACUGUUCCCCAGACUCUGCACUGCCUCCUCUGAGAGCAUCGUGCCUGCAGGAGCCUCCUCUGGGUCGGGGCUUUUAGCUGCUCCUGCUGCAGUCCUUCACCAUUCAAGAUGCAUGUCCCGAAUCACUUCAACCACAGAGAAGUGAUUUUGUAGCCACAGCUCUUAAAGAAAUAUCCUCUGUUUUUCUGGGAGGUGCUGCCCAUUCCCUCCAUCUGACAUGAAAACAGGGUCAUUGCAUCACCAUCAUUGUCUCUGCAGAGACCCUCCUGGCCUGGGCUCUGCUUCCAUCUGCCCACGGAGAUGAGGACCAGACUGCCCUGCCCUCAGCCCCCAAACCUGCAUGGCACAGACCCUGUGCUCGUCCCUGCCCCUGCAGCCAGCCUGGCCAGCACCCAGCUACCCCCAGCUGAUGGAUCUGUGUCUGUGAACGAGUGACAGCGUGGUCGGCAUUGUCCUGAGUGUCAGAUUCUUCCUAAGUGCCAGCUCUAAUGGGCUGUGGAUGAUCAGAUGCUCCUGGGAUAACAAGUUUCUGGAAAGAGAUAAAUGCAGCAAAUGUGCAUGAACAGGGGACAUUGUCAUGGCUUAACCCCAGCCAAAAACUCAGUCCCACACAACUGUUUGCUCACCCUUCUCCCUCAGAGGGAUGGGAAGGAGAAUCAG